rnacentral:lncRNA from 1 species
GUGAAGUUGAAAUAAUCCCUUCGUUAAUCUUUAUGACGCAAUCACGAAUUAGUUGACCGUUAUGGAAUGUGUACUUGUACGUUGUCUAAGAAUGUAUGACAUUUGUCAUCAGGAGCGGAGCGUCAGACAAUGUCAAACGUGAAGCAGUCAUCGAUUUCAUUUAGGGAAAGGAAUGGUAACCUGAAACAUUGGGAUAGCCAUUUACCAAUUGCAAUGUCACUUGAUUUGUCUUUAUACUCUGUGCUCAGCCAAUAUAAAAGUAUAAACUUACCUGUAACUUACCUGUAAAUCCAAUUAGGAAAAAAUUUAAAAUCGGCGCAAAUGAAAAAAUGAAAUUGGCGCAAAUGAAAGAAUGAAAAAUUUCAAAAUCGGCGCAAAUGUCAUACGCCC